AUGCCGCGUGAGUGAUGAAGGCCUUAGGGUCGUAAAGCUCUUUCGCCAGGGAUGAUAAUGACAGUACCUGGUAAAGAAACCCCGGCUAACUCCGUGCCAGCAGCCGCGGUAAUACGGAGGGGGUUAGCGUUGUUCGGAAUUACUGGGCGUAAAGCGCACGUAGGCGGAUUAGAAAGUUGGGGGUGAAAUCCCAGGGCUCAACCCUGGAACUGCCUCCUAAACUCCUGGUCUAGAGUUCGAGAGAGGUGAGUGGAAUUCCGAGUGUAGAGGUGAAAUUCGUAGAUAUUCGGAGGAACACCAGUGGCGAAGGCGGCUCACUGGCUCGAUACUGACGCUGAGGUGCGAAAGUGUGGGGAGCAAACAGGAUUAGAUACCCUGGUAGUCCACACCGUAAACGAUGAAUGCCAGUCGUCGGGUAGUAUACUAUUCGGUGACACACCUAACGGAUUAAGCAUUCCGCCUGGGGAGUACGGUCGCAAGAUUAAAACUCAAG
rnacentral:rRNA from 1 species